rnacentral:misc_RNA from 1 species
GAUGAAGAACGUCGCGAAAUGCGAUACUUGGUGUGAAUUGCAGAAUCCCGUGAACCAUCGAGUCUUUGAACGCAAGUUGCGCCCGAAGCCACUAGGCCGAGGGCACGCCUGCCUGGGCGUCACACGCCGUUGCCCCCCCAUCUACUCCUUCGGGAUUGCGGGGGGGCGGAUGAUGGCCUCCCGUGCGCCUAGACGCGCGGUUGGCAUAAAUACCAAGUCCUCGGCGACGCACGCCACGACAAUCGGUGGUUGCGAAACCUCGGUUGCCCGUCGUGUGCGUUCGUCGCGCAUCGAGGGCUCGAAAAAAUGCUCGGCUCCGGCUGGGCUUUCAACGCGACCCCAGGUCAGGCGGGGUUACCCGCUGAAUUUAAGCAUAUCAAUAAGCGGAGGA